rnacentral:lncRNA from 1 species
UGUAUAUAAGUAUAGACUACCAUUGUACGACAUAGUUAUACUGUACUAUUAUAUAAGUAUGAACUACCAUUGUAUGACAUAGUUACACUGUAUAUACAAGUAUGAACUACCAUUGUAUGACAUAGUUAUACUGUACCAGUAUAUAAUUAUGAACUACCAUUGUAUGACAUUGUUACACUGUUUAUAAGUAUGGACUACCAUUGUAUGACAUAGUUAUACUGUACUAUUAUAUAAGUAAGAACUACCAUUUUAUGACAUUGUUACACUGUUUAUAAGUAUGGAUUACCAUUGUAUGACAUUGUUACACUGUUUAUAAGUAUGGAUUACCAUUGUAUGACAUAGGUACACUGUUUAUAAGUAUGGAGUACCAUUUACAUGUUAUUGAUUUAUCUCGUCAUACUCAUGUAGAUUCAGUAUACAGACUAUAAUGCAGAUAGCCUGUCAUAAAGAAAGUAUCAAUUCUGUUAGAAAAGUUAAACCCUAAAUACAAACAGAUAUGAAGUAUGGCUCAGUUUUAAAUAGCGACCAAAAAUAAGUUGAGACUUGCAACUAAGCUUCAAAGCACCAGAGUUCUAAGAAGAUGUUGAUAGAUAAAACUGAUAUGACAGAAUCUUAUGUAAAGAUUCGUUGAAUUUCUUAAAUCGAAGGAUCAAAGACUUAUAUUUAUGAUAACUAAAUAAAGACAAACAUUACUUAUCUUUAUGUCUACUUUGAUCUGUAUUCCCUGUGUUUAAAUAUUUUGUAAAUUUUAUAUUUCUUGUAUCACUUAUGUCUAACACUCACAGAAUAGGAGUAGUAUUUAAAACACUUAUUACAUUGAUAUGAAAUAAGCAUACAUUCUAUGGAAACUCCAAUAUUUUAAUCAAGUCUUAAGAUACAGGUAAAAUAUGACAGUUUUAUUUGUUUUGUGAGGGUCUCGAUGGGAGGUCAUUUAAAAUAACGCCUAUUCUGUAAAAUUCGCAUAAAACGAUUUUACUGUUACAUCUGUAAUUACAUUGUACAUGAUUUCUUUAUGUUUGUAUAUCGUUUAAAUCUGUAAUCAGUCUUGAAAUACUUAAUUGGUUUAAUAACCAAAG